GAUGAACGCUAGCGGCAGGCCUAACACAUGCAAGUCGAGGGGUAGAGUUCUUCGGGACUUGAGACCGGCGCACGGGUGCGUAACGCGUAUGCAAUCUACCUUAUACAGGGGAAUAGCCCAGAGAAAUUUGGAUUAAUGCCCCAUAGUGUUAUCGAAUCGCAUGGUUUGAUAACUAAAGUUCCAACGGUAUAAGAUGAGCAUGCGUCCCAUUAGUUAGUUGGUAAGGUAACGGCUUACCAAGACAAUGAUGGGUAGGGGUCCUGAGAGGGAGAUCCCCCACACUGGUACUGAGACACGGACCAGACUCCUACGGGAGGCAGCAGUGAGGAAUAUUGGUCAAUGGGCGCAAGCCUGAACCAGCCAUGCCGCGUGCAGGAAGACGGUCCUAUGGAUU
rnacentral:rRNA from 1 species